rnacentral:rRNA from 1 species
GAUGAACGCUGGCGGCGUGCCUAAUACAUGCCAGUCGAGCGAACAGACGAGGAGCUUGCUCCUCUGACGUUAGCGGCGGACGGGUGAGUAACACGUGGAUAACCUACCUAUAAGACUGGGAUAACUUCGGGAAACCGGAGCUAAUACCGGAUAAUAUGUUGAACCGCAUGGUUCAAUAGUGAAAGACGGUUUUGCUGUCACUUAUAGAUGGAUCCGCGCCGCAUUAGCUAGUUGGUAAGGUAACGGCUUACCAAGGCAACGAUGCGUAGCCGACCUGAGAGGGUGAUCGGCCACACUGGAACUGAGACACGGUCCAGACUCCUACGGGAGGCAGCAGUAGGGAAUCUUCCGCAAUGGGCGAAAGCUUGACGGAGCAACGCCGCGUGAGUGAUGAAGGUCUUCGGAUCGUAAAACUCUGUUAUUAGGGAAGAACAAAUGUGUAAGUAACUAUGCACGUCUUGACGGUACCUAAUCAGAAAGCCACGGCUAACUACGUG